rnacentral:rRNA from 1 species
GCUCAAAGUUGGAACCUGGUGGGCAUAGCUCACCCGGAUUGUAAGAGUCGUUUAGUCAGCCAGGUAAAUAAGUCCUCUGGAAAGGGGCGACAUAGAGGGUGAAAUCCCCGUCUUUGGCCUGAGUUUUGAUUAGGCGUUUGGCUUGGAAACGAAGAGUCAGGUUGUUUGGGAAUGCAGCCUAAAAUGGGAGGUAAAUCUCUCCUAAAGCUAAAUAUUGACGAAAGACCGAUAGCGAACAAGUACCGUGAGGGAAAGAUGAAAAGCACUUUGAAAAGAGGGUCAAAAAGUACGUGAAAUUGCUGAAAGGGAACCGUAUGAAAUCAGACUUACUGGUAGGUAAUCAAUCUUUCCCUUGGGAAGGAUGCACUUGCCUGCUAUGUACGCCAGCGACAUUUUGGUUGUGGAGGAAAAAAAUAGUUGGAAUGUAGCCUGGGUUUCGGCUUAGGUGUUAUAGACUACUAUAAAAUACUCUCGGCUAGAAUGAGGAACGCAGCAAACCGUAAGGCGAAGAUUUUAGGCGCUUGGGGGGGAUCAUUAGAGAAUUUCUGCUUCGGGUGGUGCUUUAGUGAUUUCGUUCAACUCGUUUGAAUUUCUUUUUAUUUGCUUAGGUUGUUGGCUUAAUGAUUUUAUAUGACCCGUCUUGAAACACGGACCAAGGAGUCCACCAUAUGCGCGAGUCUUUGGGUGUAGAAACCCAUGGGCGGAAGGAAAUUGACUAAGAUACCAAGGCUUUAGCUGGCAGUAUCCCCCGGCAUAGACGUUUUAUACUGAAAUGACUGAGGGCAAGCGCUUAUGAUGGGACCCGAAAGAUGGUGAACUAUACUUGAAUAGGGUAAAGCCAGAGGAAACUCUGGUGGAAGCUCGCAGCGAUUCUGACGUGCAAAUCGAUCGUCAAAUUUGAGUAUAGGGGCGAAAGACUAAUCGAACCAUCUAGUAGCUGGUUCCUGCCGAAGUUUCCCUCAGGAUAGCAGAAGCUCGUAGGCAGUUUUAUGAGGUAAAGCGAAUGAUUAGAGGCCUAGGGGGCUUAUUGCCCUUUACCUAUUCUCAAACUUUAAAUAUGUAAGACGU